AGCAAUUUCAUCUAGAGACUCCAUAAAAUGUGGAGUUUUCUCAGUGACAGACCUGGUCCCCUUAAAACUGAUUCAUCCAUCGAUUGUUAUUCCCUGCCUAGGAGUGAAAUGCAUUCCAAAUUUGACGAGUUCGUGGAGUACAUCUGUCGGAACUGGUAACAAAUACAAACAAGUAAAGGGAAGAAAUGAUAGAGGAGGGGUGGGAGGAUAGCGGACCCCCCCACCUGCUUUAUCUGCAGCUACUCCUACCCCGACAUCCAGUCCUGAAGAAGGACAGCAUGGUGGAAGGCCUUAUUGAGAAGGUCAGUUGGAGGAGGAGGUCCUACUUGCGUCUGGUGGAAGCAUGCUGUCAAGACAACUAGGAGCAGAAGCCAAGAAGCCCACAUUAGCUGCUUUUAAUGGAAUGGUGAUAUGGUCAUGUCAUUGUUUCUAGUAUGGGGAUGAGCAAAAUUAGAAAGAAUUUUGAUUUUGAUUGCAAUCCAUACAUUACAUCUGAAAAUUAUGUGUGUAUAAACAUUGACAGCAGAAUUAAGCUGAGACUGACUAGACAGAAGAUGAGACAGUAGUUGGCGGACGUGUAAACAAGUUGGCAUGUAUUGUUUUGAAGGAAAUACUUCUAAUAUGGAGAUCUUGUUCACUAUAACAUUUGGCAUACUGUUGUGAACCAGUGUUCAUGAGAAACUGGCAACAGAGAUCUCAAACUUUUUUUUACAAAUAACAGAGUCAGAUUCAUAAACAAUUGACAUGGUUAUGUUUUUAUCAUGGAAAGUACAGUAAUAUAGUUUGUAUGCCUAUUGCCACAAUCUCUGAUUUAUUAUUGUCACAUGUACCUAGGUACAUUGAACAGUUUGUUUUGCGUGCAGUACAGGCAAAUCACACCAUAUAAAGUGCAUUAAGGUAGUAGAAUAGAGUGAAAAGUACAAUGGUAUGGCUGUAGAUAAGGUGUAGAAAGAGAAAGACCAAUAUUAAAUUUAAAAUUUGAGGCCAAUUCGGAAGUCUAAUAACAGUGGGGGAGACGCUAUUCUUGAAUCUUUUUUGCAUGUGUUUCAACUAUUGCAUCUUCUGCACAAUGCAAGACGUUGGAAGAGGCUAUUACUGGGUGGGAAGGGUGUUUGAUUAGGUUGGCUGCCUUCCUGAGGCAGCAAGAAGUAUAAAUGAAGUCAACAGAUAGAAAGUUGGCUUGCGUAUGAACUGGACUUUUAUCACAACUCUCUGCAGUUUUUUGUGGUCCUGGGAACAGCAGUUGCCAUACCAAGCCAUGAUGCAUCCAGACAGAUCAGGGCUUCAUUGAGUACAAUAAAAAGAAAUAUAUCAGACAGUUGGUUUUGAAAUUGUAAUGUUACCACUGUAAUACAUCCAAGUUUUACUAGUGGGCCAGUAAAUUCUGAGCUCUCACAUGAAAAAUGGCCAUGUACUGCAACAAUCAGCUACCCAUUUGGCUGGAAUUUGAAUGGAGGAGACAGUUACCAAGAUGGCCACAUCACUUUUUCUUGAGUUGUCUCAAAUUGGAAGCACUUGUUUAAACAGCUGCUUUGUUUCCAAUGUAAAGAUAUACCUUUUUUUUCAAGGUGACUUUCCAGAUGCCCCCAAGACUUGUGGGGUCCAUCUUUAUUUUGUCUGCAGCUAGCAACCAUCAAUUUAUUGCAUAUAUUUGUCUCCAUAGGUUUACCUGAUCCAACUUAUUCAAUGAAAUGGAACCUCUUGUUGUAAGAUAGAGAAGUCCAUUUAUUCCUUUAUCAUGCUGAUGUGUCUCUCAAAUGGCAGCUAAAAUUGGAAUUUUGCAUUCUGGAAAUCUCUAGAAAUAUCAGAGGCCCAGGAGUCGAGAUCUCCAUACUUUCUGUCAUGGUGGGAGUUAGGAUGGGGACUUUUCCACUGACGGGAUUACAGAGGGAAACUGUUAAGAUGUUUACCCUUCAUUUCCAAUACACAUAUGGAUAGAUUCUCCAGUGACUGCUCCCAAAACUGAAACACGCACAGAGAAUUCCCUGAAGUGGAUGUGCCAUGUUUUGUGUGACAUGCCAACAGGCUGUCUGCAUUUUUACUGUCUACAACACUUGAACUUCAGCCAAAAAAAAACCCAAAGCUGUCAGUCCUUUUUGUUAUUGUCAAACAAAACAUUGGUAAAACACUAAUUAUAUGGAGUGGACCUAGAUCAUCUGUUCUAUGAAUACAUUAUUAUGUUAGUAUGAAUGAAUGUGUAACUAAAUUAAUAUUGCAAAUGUGAGACGAAUUGCUGCGUUUUAAUCUAGAUCUAAAAAUUGCACAGAAAACCCUUUAUAAAGAAAUAUAAUGUACCAAGUGGCUUUGGUAACUUUUGC